ensembl:processed_transcript
UGGAUAUCCGGGCCAGGAGGCUCGCGGAGCCCUCAUUUCCGGUGGCGUCUCAGCCCAGCUCCCUUGAGGCGCAGGUUCUGGCUCUCGGUGCGGUAGCGCCAUCUGGCGCCGAGUGUUCCCCGGCCUGCGGAGGGGCGCGCUUCCUCCCUUCAGAACAUUCCAGAGACACCUCGGCGGCCGGGGCUCUGUCUCCCUUUCUCUGCAUUCUGCUUGUGGAUCAGAUGUGAGCUCUCAUCUACUGCUCUGGUGUCACACCUGCCUGCCUGCCUGCCACCAUGCUGCCUGCCAUGAUGAUCAUGGACUCACCCUCUGAAACUGUAAGCAAGCCCACAGUUAACUGCUCCCUUUUAUAAGUUGCUUUGGUCAUGGUGUCUUGUCCUAGCAAUAGAAAAGUGACCAAGACAAAUAUGUUCAAUAAUUAUAUGAGUUAGUUUUAAAAAAUACACUUUGAAAAAUAAACGUUGGAGCAUCUACAACAUUGUUUUAGUUUGCUUUUCUGUUGUUAUGAUAAGCACCCCAACCAGAAGCAACUUGUGAGGAAAAUUUUCAUUUAGCUUGUACUUCCACAUCAUAAUCCAUUAUUGAGGGAAGUAAGUCAGGGAAGGAACCAUAGAGCGAUGAAUGAUGCUUUCUGCCUGUUCUCUGUGACUUGCUCAGCUGCCUUACUCAGUGCAGGACCACACGUCCAGGGAAUGGCGCCAUCAGUCAAUAGUCAAGACAAUUGCCCACAGACAUGAGUACAGACCAGACUGAUCUGGGCAAUCCCUCAGUUGAGACUACCUCUUUUCAGGUGACUCUUGGCUGUGUCAAGAUGAGAAUAAAAACUAUUCAGACUCAGAAGGAGGAGGAGGAGGGAGAGGAAGUAGUUUUAUGUAUUUACAUUCCCCUUGUCAAGGGACUACAGAAAAUUUAAGUCGGCAUGGGUGGGUCAUGUUGUAUUUUGCUUGGACUGUGCUUUUCUAACCGAGUCUUAUCUACCUGUCUGUCAUUCAAGAUGCAUCACCUGCAUUGUUAAAUGUCUCAUAUAGAGCACUUGUCUGUGUAGAGAGCACCUGAAAGCCCCAAAUUUCCCAUUUCUUGUUGUGUUUCUCUUCUUGUAAGUGAGUCCUUAGAAGAAUGUCUUUCACCUAAUUGAUUCUGAGUGAUGAUCAUUAUAUGAUUUUUGAGCCCUAAACAUGUGCUCUGUUCUCACAAACCUCAAAGUUCUUAGUAUAAUGCAUUUAAAACACCAUGCUCUGGAUUAAGGUCUAGGUCAAGUCCUACCAACUGCCAUGUGUCUCUCAGGGUAGGUCUCAAGUGUCUGAACCACUGUCCUCUCUGCUAAAGCAAUUCCCAAUAACUAAUACAAAUCCAAUCAAAACACAAUCAGGAAGUCAAACCACUGUAAAGAAGACAUCAGCCAACGCAUUUCUAAAGGAGAUUGGGGGUUGUGCACACCAGGGCUUUCCUCUGUUGAGGUAAUAAAAAGUUGAUUGAUAGAGAAUUGCUAAUAAAUAAAGAUGACACCUCUCUUUCAGUACCUGUGGGGAUGGACUUGUGGAGCUUGAGGCAGUAAGGACACUGUUUGCCAUGCAGGACCAGGAAGAUUAUUUUCAAUCUGAAUUCAGGGGACACUGCCCCUACUUCUGGGAACAUCUUUCCUCACUCGUGUUUUCACUCAUUCACCAUCUCAUUUCUUCUCUGUCCUCUUCUGGGCCUCAUAGGCUCAAACCCUCAAUAAGUAAAUUUUCUGAGUACCUUUAUUGUUCAUAUGCCAGUGACCUUGGGGUUCACAUUGAAAAAUAGCUACUGGUGGGUUGGAGAGAUGACUCAGCAUCUAAGAGCACUGGUAGGUCUUGAGGAGGACCUGAUUUCAGUUCCCAGCACCCACAUGGUGGCUCACAACCAUAUCUAACAACAGUUAUAGGGGAUCUGAUGCCCUUUUCUGGCCUCCACAGCCACUGCAUGCACACAGUACACAGACAAACAC